rnacentral:lncRNA from 1 species
AUUCUGCUUGCCGUGUGUUUUGCAUCAGUGCUUCGUGACAUCGGCUGUAUUGCGUGUUUUCGCCGACGGCUUACUACCACAAUGGCGUGAUCUGCGUUCGCCGCCUUCGUGUCUCGGUGCGUCUUUGUAUACGUCGCACGUUCGGACAACACUUUUUCCGACGGCUGGACAUCCUUCUUGUACCUUGGCGCUAGCUGGAUGACGGGACCUCAUCAUGAUCAGUGUAUUGCUUGCCUAUGUCUACAAGAACCGUCACGCGUGGCCUGUGACAGCAAGCUUUUGUGGGCAGCAAGUGCUCUCCUACGAAGGCUGGCCUGCUCUGGCAGCGGCGGCAAUCAUCUUCAAGAUUUAUCCAUGAACACCUUUGCUGCUAUUUGUCACUCUUGUUGAUUACACUUUCUGCAUCUUUUCUAAUUUAUUAGGUAAUAAAGUAUGAGUAUGUGACAUGGUGUGAAGUUGAUGUCUUGCUGCAUUUUCGCGUGCAAUCAUCUUUUAUGCAUGA